CCUACGGGUGGCAGCAGUGAGGAAUAUUGGUCAAUGGACGAGAGUCUGAACCAGCCAAGUAGCGUGAAGGAUGACUGCCCUAUGGAUUGUAAACUUCUUUUAUAAAGGAAUAAAACGAGGCACGUGUGCCUGUUUGCAUGUACUUUAUGAAUAAGCAUCGGCUAACUCCGUGCCAGCAGCCGCGGUAAUACGGAGGAUCCGAGCGUUAUCCGGAUUUAUUGGGUUUAAAGGGAGCGUAGAUGGGUUGUUAAGUCAGUUGUGAAAGUUUGCGGCUCAACCGUAAAACUGCAGUUGAUACUGGCAGUCUUGAGUAGAGUAGAGGUAGGCGGAAUGCGUGGUGUAGCGGUGAAAUGCAUAGAUAUCGCGAAGAACCCCGAUUGCGAAGGCAGCUUACUAAACUGAGACUGACAUUGAUGCUCGAAAGUGUGGGUAUCAAACAGGAUUAGAUACCCGUGUAGUC
rnacentral:rRNA from 1 species